UACGUAGGGUGCAAGCGUUAAUCGGAAUUACUGGGCGUAAAGCGUGCGCAGGCGGCUAUGCAAGACAGAUGUGAAAUCCCCGGGCUCAACCUGGGAACUGCAUUUGUGACUGCAUAGCUAGAGUACGGUAGAGGGGGAUGGAAUUCCGCGUGUAGCAGUGAAAUGCGUAGAUAUGCGGAGGAACACCGAUGGCGAAGGCAGCCCCCUGGGCCAAUACUGACGCUCAGGCACGAAAGCGUGGGGAGCAAACAGG
rnacentral:rRNA from 1 species